rnacentral:rRNA from 2 species
GACGGAGGGUGCAAGCGUUGCUCGGAAUCAUUGGGCGUAAAGGGUGCGUAGGCGGCCCGCCAAGUCUGCCGUGAAAGCCCAGGGCUCAGCCCUGGAAGGGCGGUAGAGACUGGGGGGCUGGAGUGCCGGAGGGGAGAGUGGAAUUCCCGGUGUAGCGGUGAAAUGCGUAGAUAUCGGGAGGAAUACCGGUGGCGAAAGCGACUCUCUGGACGGCAACUGACGCUGAGGCACGAAAGCGUGGGGAGCAAACAGG